CCUAUCUCCAAAUCAUCUUCAUCGCCAAACUUCAAAUCUUCCCCAACCUAGCUCAUAGUCACAAACAAUUUCUUCUUUGAUCCACAAGGAAACCUAAACAUGCGCACAAUCGUUCACACAACCUUAACAGGAACACUACCAAACCAAAGAUGAGGAUAACUGCGCAAGGUACGUGCUAGAUUGGAACUUGACACGCGUGAGAGCCACCAUAAC
rnacentral:lncRNA from 1 species